AUUGAACGCUAGCGGGAUGCUUUACACAUGCAAGUCGAACGGCAGCGCGGACUUCGGUCUGGCGGCGAGUGGCGAACGGGUGAGUAAUGUAUCGGAACGUGCCCAGUAUCGGGGGAUAACUACGCGAAAGCGUAGCGAAUACCGCAUACGCCCUUCUGGGGAAACCAGUGGAUCGUAAGACCUUGCCCUAUUGGAGCGGACGAUAUCGGAUUAGCUAGUUGGUGAGGUAACGGCUUACCAAGGCGACGAUCCGUAGCUGGUUUGAGAGGGCGACCUGCCACACUGGGACUGAGACACGGCCCAGACUCCUACGGGAGGCAGCAGUGGGGAAUUUUGGGCAAUGGGGGCAAGCCUGACCCAGCCAUCCCGCGUGUGCGAUGAAGGCCUUCGGGUUGUAAAGCACUUUUGGCAGGAAAGAAACGUCGCGGGCUAAUACACCGUGGAACUGACGGUACCUGCAGAAUAAGCACCGGCUAACUACGUG
rnacentral:rRNA from 1 species